UAAGGAUGGAUGAUCCAGCCAGUGAAGGUGUCAGUGUUUGAUGAUAUGGAAAAUCAAACUGUGAAUGUGGAAUUUGCAGUGUGAUCAAAUAAAUCUGAUGAAUAAACUGUGAACUUGAUAAUGGGGGUCCUGCUACGAGCAUCAUGGAAACGGUGUGGGACCUGGAUAAGCCAUCAAUCUCAAAUAGCCUGAGAAGAGGUACUGCACUGAAUCAUCUCUGUUGCUCAGAAGAAGGAAGAUUGCUUGUGGCUAAGCAAUGCGGGUAUAAUACUUGUUGGUGAAGUGGUAUCUGUAGACAUUUUGGAUACUGUACUGGAUCAUCGUUAUACUCCACAGGUUCUUGUUGCGGAAUUUGACAUGGAUUGGAGGAUUGAAAGUGUCAGUCAACGAUUUCUCUUAUAAAAGAAAAACCAAUUUCUUCAAUCACAUCGAGGAUGAAUAGUUUGCAGAUGUUUAGAGUUGAGUCUAAAUAGUUUGCAGAUAGUCAUAUAAUAAAUAAUCUAUCAAGGCUAAGUAGUUUGGCGAUAGUCAAAUAAUAUAUUUAAUCUCUCGAGGCUAAAUAGUUUGCAGAUAGUCAAAGAAUUAAUUUAAUCUCUCUAGGCUAAAUAGUUUGUAGAUAGUCGGUUCAUCCCUUUCUAGGAAGGGCUUACCUCACGGUUUAGGGUUCCGUGACAGUGCUGGGAAGGUAGAGGCUUUGGCAGGCUGACCCUUCUCUGGCAUUGACGUCCCCUACUGUCUCGACGGUCAUGGCCUCAACGCGGUGAGACAGUGGCAACAUGGGCCAUCAUGAUGUAUGAUCUGUGGCUAACUAGUGACCAUAACAUCACAGUUUCAAGUCUCUGCUCAUGAAAUUUUGCAUUCAAAGCUAAUGUUACAAAAUCUAGUCUGUCAUAAAUUUAAACUUAUUAUUGUUCCAGGUGUCUGAAUUUAAAUGUCUUCUUUUCAGAUUUGUAGGAGUCAUGAAUUUAAAUAUCUUAUUUCAGGAUGCAGAGCAUGUAUGUGGAUAGGACGUUUUAGUGUUUCUCGGUGCAAAACUGUGAAAUGACGGGCUAAGUUUUGUUUACUGUCUUACCCCUAUUAACGGGGUUACUUGGUCAUUAUGGCUAGUAAAAGCACUGCGGUCACCUGUCCUUCUUGCCAGAAAGAUGAUAAUGAAGGAGAAUUGGUUUAGAUGUGAAAGUGGUGAUUGGCAUUCUUGAAGUAAGAAAAGAGUAUUACUGUUGCUGUUGAAAUGUACAGUAUAAACUGUUAGGGUUACACAUAUCAGACAGUCAUGCAGUGAAAUCAAAAGGCUAAGCUUUAGAUUAUGAGAUGAAGAGGAUUGCUGUUUACAAGGAUCGUGGCCAUAAUUGCUAAUGGAAAAUUAAAAUGUGGUUGCAUGAAUAACCAAUCUGUAGGAAAUCACACAAUACAGGUUGGAGACUUAAUAAAUGAAAAUUCUAUUGCUAUUUUUGCCAUUGCUGCUAAGAUGUGGCUGCAAGAAGAUGAAAGCGCCAAUUCUAUUGUUAUUUUUGCCAUUGCUAAGACAUUGUUCAAAGAAGAUGAAAGCACAAAGACUGCUGACAUGACCCCGAGGCAAGAUUGGGUUUGGUUUACUGCUUGACGGGAUUGUUAUAAAUGUGGUGAUUUUAAUUUAAGAAUGGAUGAUCCAACCAGUGAAGGUGUUAGUGGUUAAUGAUAUGGAAAAUCAAACGGUAAGUGUGGAAUUUGCAGAGUGAUCAAAUAAAUCUGAUGAAUAAACUGUGAACUUGAUAAUGGUGGUCCUGCUACGAGCAUUAUGGAAAUGGUGCGGGACCUGGAUAAGCCGCCAAUCUCAAAUAGCCUGGGGAUAGUUAAAAAAAAUUGGCGAAUCUAACUAGGCUAUAUAGUUUGCAGAGUUAAAACUGAUUAUUUCAUGAAAUAGGUUUGAUUUUGCAGUAAAUCCUGAAGUUGAAGUAAACUUAGAGGCAAUAGUUUAAUAGUCUGUAUACAUACUGUACAAUAUCUUAUUGUAUGUGUAGUGUUUGAGGCUAUGCAAUUCUGGUGUUUUUGAAGUGAGUGCAAUAGUUUAAGUUGGUUAGCACCAAUCAAGUUAUAGAUGCUAAUGUGGAUUUUGUAACUGUUAUUUGUAAGGUUAAUGGCUGAGGAAGGGAGGGGCUCUCGGGUACUUAGUGUUUGUGGGCAGCUUCUCCAACAAAUGUUUGUUUCUGGUCAGAUUUCAGCCAUGACAAACUCCUUAAAAAAUUGGAAUGGUUAAUAUUUAUGCCAAUAUGACAGCAGUAAAUUACACUUUAGUAUUUUCCCAAAUGAGGUAUAUUUCUUUGAGCUAAUUCUCGUAGUGUUAUCCUCUAAAUGUAUUAAUCUUUUAUAAUCGGUAAACAUUUUAUAAUCGGUAACAUUUUAGACAGAAAUCCUGUAUCAGAGCAACAAAUUAAGCUUAUUCAUCUUCUGUUUCGUGAUACUGUACUGAAUCAUCUCUGCUGCUCAGAAGAAACAAAACUGCUUGUACGGGUUUAUAAUAAGUGUUGAUGAAGUAGCGAUGUAUAAAUUUUGGUGAGCAUAUCAUAAAAAGCAUUCAUUUUUUCCUUUUGUAUGUUUGUCUUUAUUUCUACUAGGAUGAUUCUAGUGCAAGUAAAAAUAAUCUUUGUGAAAUAAUGAUAUAUUUUAAAAGAACAGCUUUUAUGAUAUAACAUUCAAUGAACCUUAGAAGAAAAUAUUGAUGGAUAAUGUAGGUGAAUAUGAUUUCCUAAAUAGAUAUAUAAAUUAUAGGAUUCUCUUUUGUUUAGUUCUCACGUUUCAUUACAAAAAAGUCUCUGUUUCACUGGAACGUAUAUUAAGAGCAUAAUGACAUGCUACAUAUAAAGAGAAAAAUGUACCCUAAACAGAUUUCCAAACCAGAAGUAGUGGAUAUUUUGAACAUAUGUAGAUUAGGAACACAAUGUUUUAAUAAAUUAAUCUAAUAGUCCCUGUUGUCAUUAUCAAGCAAUUUUAAAAGGCCUGUAUAGUAUUGUUUAGUAAUACCAAGGAAAUUAAGAAAAUAAACCCAACCGUAUCUAAUCAAUAUCUUAGUGUGCAAUCCUAUCUACCACUGAUAUCAAGACCAUCAGGUUACUUGAGGCUACUCUGGUGAGACGUGACUCUAUUAGAAAGUUUUACACUGGAUAUAUAAUUGCUUUUAUGAAUGUAUAUUUAUGUGUCUUGAAAUUGAAAUUAUGUAAAUCGAAAGUGUAUUUUCAUUCAAAUAAUUGUUCUGAAAUUGACCACAAAUAUCUACUGGGAACUAAAGUUGGAUUUCGGCAAACUCCUGUACACACACCUGAAUGUAACUAAGUUGACUACACUAUUUUUCUAUUUACUGAAAAACUCUUGUCACUUGUAAUGUGAACUGUUAUUCGUAUAUCAUUAACAUAUUGUCUCUAUGGUAGUGUUUAGAAAACAUAAACAUUGGCAUACCAAUAGCUCGACCUUUCACGUCCGUCGUUACAAGGGUAUGUAAAGGUAUACUUCGAAGCAAUUGUAACAGAGAAAAUUUACCCAAAUUCCCGACCCACCAGUGAGUUAAGUUGGGUCAAAUUCGGUUCCAAUUUCUUUUCUGACUUUUAUGGGUCAGUUUGUAAAUACUCUGGCUUUUCAUUUGAAAGACAGGGGGUAUAUCUUGAUGUGAGUAAAAAAUGUAUGCAUAGCCUACUACGUAAAUUAUAUAUGUAUUCUACCUUUUAUAAUAACAAUCUUAAAAAUCUAACCUCCCAAAUAUCACAAUGUACUAUAUAUUUA